rnacentral:rRNA from 1 species
GUACGUGAAAUUGUUGAAAGGGAAGCGCUUGCAGCCCGACUUGUCCGCAGUUGCUCAGCCUGCCUCCUGGCAGGCGCACUCUUCUGCGGCCAGGCCAGCAUCAGUUCGGGCGGUCGGAUAAAGACCCGGGGAAUGUAGCUCCUCUCGGGGAGUGUUAUAGCCCCGGGUGCAAUGCGGCCAGCCUGGACUGAGGAUCUCGCUUCGGCUAGGAUGCUGGCGUAAUGGCUGUAAGCGGCCCGUCUUGAAACACGGACCA